AGUGAACGCUGGCGGUAGGCCUAACACAUGCAAGUCGAACGGCAGCACAGUAAGAGCUUGCUCUUACGGGUGGCGAGUGGCGGACGGGUGAGGAAUACAUCGGAAUCUACUUUUUCGUGGGGAUAACGUAGGGAAACUUACGCUAAUACCGCAUACGACCUACGGGUGAAAGCAGGGGAUCUUCGGACCUUGCGCGAUUGAAUGAGCCGAUGUCGGAUUAGCUAGUUGGCGGGGUAAAGGCCCACCAAGGCGACGAUCCGUAGCUGGUCUGAGAGGAUGAUCAGCCACACUGGAACUGAGACACGGUCCAGACUCCUACGGGAGGCAGCAGUGGGGAAUAUUGGACAAUGGGCGCAAGCCUGAUCCAGCCAUACCGCGUGGGUGAAGAAGGCCUUCGGGUUGUAAAGCCCUUUUGUUGGGAAAGAAAAGCAGCAGGUUAAUACCCCGCUGUUCUGACGGUACCCAAAGAAUAAGUACCGGCUAACUUCGUG
rnacentral:rRNA from 1 species